rnacentral:rRNA from 1 species
UACGAAGGGUGCGAGCGUUAAUCGGAAUUACUGGGCGUAAAGCGUGCGUAGGUGGCUUGUUAAGUCGGAUGUGAAAGCCCUGGGCUUAACCUGGGAACUGCAUCCGAUACUGGUGAGCUUGGAGUUUGGAAGAGGGUGGUGGAAUUCCCGGUGUAGCGGUGAAAUGCGUAGAGAUCGGGAGGAACAUCAGUGGCGAAGGCGGCCACCUGGUCCAAAACUGACGCUGAUGCACGAAAGCGUGGGGAGCAAACAGG